CCCUGCAGAGAGUCGGGGAGGGAGCCGCCCCUUCUCCUCCCGGCCAGGUGACAGGCAGCUCUUCUCAGAUCCUUCAAACUGAGCUGUGGGGAACAUACCAGUCAUAGACUCUGAAGACCCUAGAAGUAGAGCCCUAUAGAAUAGCCAGUGCCCCAUCCCCAUUUCUGGCAAAAAGAGGACAAAGGAAUAUUCAGGAAGGGUGGGGCAUGCUCUUGGGCAUGACUGGCUCUAGGGACAGUAUCCUGGGUCCACGCCUGGUGGGGGAGGUGGUAGGGACAGGGCUUAGCCCUCCUGUGCCACACAGGGCCUCCAAGUCCCCACACUGGGCAGGAGGGUAGAGGAGCAACAUGAGAAACCACUUAAGCUUCUCCCUCUGGGGCAGCUGACUGCCUUCCCUUAUUCCAUCCCCCUCAAGGGUGGCUUCAGCGCUGAUAAUAUUGUUUCUUUCUCCUCCUCAGAGUUCAUUACUGUUCUCCAAAUCACCCUGCCAAGCCAUUCUCUAGAAAUGACUUAUCGAUCUGAGAACAAUUAUCCGAUUCCCCUUGGUGCCAUCCUGACAGGCUAAUCCUACCCAAAGCCGCCAGCCAGCCCACCCCUCCCCCGCCCCCAAGGUUGCUGCCCAUAGGCUCCCCUCCCCCACUCACAGAAGCCCAGCGGAGGCAGCUCUGCCCUUCCAAGGCCAGGGCAGGCCUGACCGCUGAGCCUCCCUGUGGAGGUCUGAAGCCAGUGGGCUACGGAACACAAGCACACAUCCACAGGUGCCAAAGGCCCUCCUUCAUCCUGUAUUUAAAAAAUACCCCUUCACACUCAAAUGUACAAACAGGUGCUCACUUGUAGGCACAGAUGCAUGCACACCCUUGGCUGCCCAUUCUGGAUAGAACGGAACAUAAGCAAAGUGUGCAAUGAUUUCUUUCUCCCCAUUUGGGCUCUUUUUUCUUUCCUUGUAGCACUUUCAAGCCCUCAUUGUCUUUCCGGCAUCAAAGGCAGAGAUCAGAUCUUUCCUUUACUCGAAGGAGUUAGACACUUUUUGUGCUAGCAUCACUCUGCUCAGGAGUUAUUUGCAUUGCUGAAGGAUCUGGUCAAAAUUCUGCCCAAGGCCUGAGGGGUGAGAAGACAUGUCACCCUGGCCAGAAGUCCCCACAGGACCCACCGCUGCUGUCCUCCAGGCUGGACUCAAGGAGGGGUGAGGCUGGACCGGAGAUGUCCCUGUCCCCGUCGGGCAGGGAGGGGCUGCUGUCCAGCUGUCCCACCGGUGGAGGCCAAGGUAGGUCUUUGAUGACUUUAAUGUCAACUGGAGCCAGAAGCAGCAGGGAGAAGAGAGAGAUAGACAGGGACAGAGACAGAGACAGAGAAAGGCAGAGGUUGAGACACCAAAAUCCAGAGCCAGGACACAGGACAGCCUAGAAAGGAGGAGGGUCAGAGCAGAGGCAGGGGCAGCUUCUGAGGGAAGAACAGGAUUCUUGGAGGGAUGGGUGGAGCCACACUGACCACACCAGGGUGGGAGGCCCAGGUGGCAGACAGCAGGACACAGGGUCUUGUUCUGCGAUCCCCAAAGGUCCCAUUUGUCUGACCUCUCACAAGCCUCUAGGUCCCAAAGGGACCAGACAGGGGAACACAGGACAAGGAGCUGCCCAUAACUCCCAGGACCACCCGGGCACCCCCACAGCCUGCUGGCACCCCUCUCCUGGCCUCUCUUUCCCCUUCCACCUGCAGCCUGGGAACUCAUGGGCAGGGAGACUGAGACAGCCCAGCCUCAGCCUAUCAGGAACACUCAGACACAGGGGCAGAUGUUUUAUUGAAAUUUACCCCCUACACCCUCAAUCCUGAGGCUUGACAAUUAGAAGAGUGAUGCCACUGGCAGCUGCAGGACUGCUAACUAGGUUUCCUAAUGAUGAGCAUAGAUUUUCCCAUUAAGCAAUCCAAACAGUAUUGAUUCUCCAAGGAGACUUCUGGAAAUAAACGGCCCAUCCUCAAUGGUGCACGCUUUAUAGGAAACAAAUUAGAAACCUGUGGUUUCCCAGUCUGACUGCCAGGGUGGAAGACAGAGGGAAGAAAUGGGUCCAGUACCAGGAUAAGCCCCUUGCCCAAGGAGGGCUGAGGAGGACAUGGGAGUGGGAAUGUCUAAUGGCAUUUAAGUCCUUUAUGUUCUCACUGAUCAACCACCCACUCAGACCUUCCCCAUGUUGAACUCUGGGCCUGGGAUGGACACUGGGGUGCUUAACAAAGCGGAUUUCUCACAGCCUCCCUCUCCCCACUGGUUCCUACUCUUGAGAAAUCCCUUUGGGGCUAGGGGCCCAUGGUCUGGCAUAGCUACCACUGGGAAGACACUGGAAAGUCUUCUAAUCAGGGCUGCUAUCUCUAAAGGUGAUGCACACAGCUGUUUUCAUUGUCUGGAGUGUUAAAUGCCUUCCUUUGUUAAGUGUAAUCAUUUAAUAUAUGCCACAAGUUUUA